GAUCCGCUGUUUAGGAGAUAAUAAAUCAGUGUCGGUACCAUCAUCAGUGACAAAUUCUUUCUCUUUACCACACUCGGAUAUAAGUCUUACACGCACAUCCAAGGACAACACUAAAGGAGAUAAUGAAUCAGCGUCGAUACAAUCAUCAGUGACAAAUUCUGUCUCUUCAACACACCACAAUAUUAUCAGUCGUAUAAACACACCCAACGACAACACUAAAGAUGACUACACCAUUGUGUACAUCACUGUUCCGGUUGCAGUUUUGUUCCUUAUUAUCGCUGCUGCUGUAGUCGCCAUUUUCUUGUGUCGAA